GAUGAACGCUGGCGGCGUGCUUAACACAUGCAAGUCGAACGGAACGCCAAGGAAAGAGUUUUCGGACAAUGGAAUUGGUUGUUUAGUGGCGGACGGGUGAGUAACGCGUGAGUAACCUGCCUUGGAGUGGGGAAUAACACAGUGAAAACUGUGCUAAUACCGCAUGAUAUAUUGGUGUCGCAUGGCACUGAUAUCAAAGAUUUAUCGCUCUGAGAUGGACUCGCGUCUGAUUAGAUAGUUGGCGGGGUAACGGCCCACCAAGUCGACGAUCAGUAGCCGGACUGAGAGGUUGGCCGGCCACAUUGGGACUGAGACACGGCCCAGACUCCUACGGGAGGCAGCAGUGGGGAAUAUUGGGCAAUGGGCGCAAGCCUGACCCAGCAACGCCGCGUGAAGGAAGAAGGCUUUCGGGUUGUAAACUUCUUUUAACAGGGACGAAGCAAGUGACGGUACCUGUUGAAUAAGCCACGGCUAACUACGUG
rnacentral:rRNA from 1 species